GACGAACGCUGGCGGCGUGCCUAAUACAUGCAAGUCGAACGCAGUGGGGACGGGUGAGUAACACGUGGGUAACCUCCCAUCAGAGGGGAUAACACUUGGAAACAGGUGCUAAACCGAUACUGAUGGAUGGACCCGCGGUGCAUUAGCUAGUUGGUGAGGUAAUGGCUCACCAAGGCCACGAUCCCUAGCUGGUCUGAGAGGAUGACCAGCAACACUGGAACUGAGACACGGCCCAGACUCCUACGUGAGGCAGCAGUGGGGAAUAUUGUGCAAUGGGCUCAAGACUGAUGCAGCCAUGCCGCGUGAGUGAAGAAGGUCUUCGGGUUGUAAAGCACUUUCAGCGAGGAGGCGUUACCCGCAGAAGAAGCACCGGCUAACUCCGUGCCAGCAGCCGCGGUAAUUC
rnacentral:rRNA from 1 species